rnacentral:rRNA from 1 species
GACGUAGGGCGCGAGCGUUGUCCGGAUUUAUUGGGCGUAAAGAGCUCGUAGGCGGCUUGUCGCGUCGUUCGUGAAAACCUGCAGCUCAACUGCAGGCUUGCGGUCGAUACGGGCAGGCUAGAGUUCGGUAGGGGAGACUGGAAUUCCUGGUGUAGCAGUGAAAUGCGUAGAUAUCAGGAGGAAUACCGAUGGCGAAGGCAGGUCUCUGGGCUGACACUGACGCUCAUGCACGAAAGCGUGGGGAGCAAACAGG